GAUGAACGCUGGCGGCGUGCCUAAUACAUGCAAGUCGAGCGAACGGACGAGAAGCUUGCUUCUCUGAUGUUAGCGGCGGACGGGUGAGUAACACGUGGAUAACCUACCUAUAAGACUGGGAUAACUUCGGGAAACCGGAGCUAAUACCGGAUAAUAUUUUGAACCGCAUGGUUCAAAAGUGAAAGACGGUCUUGCUGUCACUUAUAGAUGGAUCCGCGCUGCAUUAGCUAGUUGGUAAGGUAACGGCUUACCAAGGCUACGAUGCAUAGCCGACCUGAGAGGGUGAUCGGCCACACUGGAACUGAGACACGGUCCAGACUCCUACGGGAGGCAGCAGUAGGGAAUCUUCCGCAAUGGGCGAAAGCCUGACGGAGCAACGCCGCGUGAGUGAUGAAGGUCUUCGGAUCGUAAAACUCUGUUAUUAGGGAAGAACAUAUGUGUAAGUAACUGUGCACAUCGUGACGGUACCUAAUCAGAAAGCCACGGCUAACUACGUG
rnacentral:rRNA from 1 species